UCUAUCUAAUUCAUAAACACAUAUAUAUAUAUGAUGUAUAUGUGUAAUCUAUAUAAUUUAUAAAUACAUAGUUGUGUCAAUAACUUCCACACUAACUUGAUCAAAGAAAAAUUUAAAAUUUGCACUUUUGCAGACUAGAAUGCUUAUUGCAUGCAAGAAAACCUUUCAUGAUGUUUCAUAAAAUGCUUACUUUCCGACCAACAAUGUAGCAAUAACCGAGAUGUUGAAUUUACACAGCACACAUUGCGUAAAGACAUGGCACUUAUAGAGUAUAUAAACAGUGAUACAUCACAUAUCAGGUUUCUCUCAAAUUGUAAAAGUGUCUUGUAUUUGGCCAAGUUAACACUAUACAUGAACGCACAAUUUGACUCGAUGUUAAUGCUGAUUUUUCAGUUAAAAUUUUAUCAAAUACUUUCAUUGAUUUAUAAGGAUCACCAGCAGGAAUUAUAAUGGUAACUUUAAUUUAUUGCAAUUUGGUUUUAAGAAAUAAAACUUGAAAAUCUUCUUGAAUGUCUCGUGAAUCUAUUUAAGAUGGAUUAAACAGAGCGUAUAUAUUACAUGUGCUAAUAUACUGUCUCAAUCAUGAUUGUAUUACUUCAAGAAGAAAGCGUAAAAUGUAUACCUGGAGAUGGCCUUUGAUAUUUGGUAUUGUCGGUAGGGCAGACGUAAUCUAUAUUUAGAAUAUAUAAAUAUCUUAACAACCAUUUAAUUCAACAUGUCAACGGAAAUGUGGCAACAACCUCACAAUACAACAUUUACUGAUAAUCCUCUCAAGGAUAAUGUACUGAACCUCUACAGUCACUAUACAGUCUUAUUGACUAGGAUUACUUAAGGUAAUUCUGGACUGUAACUACUGUACUGAACCUCUACAGUCACUAUACAGUCUUAUUGACUAGGAUUACUUAAGGUAAUUCUGGACUGCUGUACUGAACCUCUACAGUCACUAUACAGUCUUAUUGACUAGGAUUACUUAAGGUAAUUCUGGACUGCUGUACUGAACCUCUACAGUCACUAUACAGUCUUAUUGACUAGGAUUACUUAAGGUAAUUCUGGACUGCUGUACUGAACCUCUACAGUCACUAUACAGUCUUAUUGACUAGGAUUACUUAAGGUAAUUCUGGACUGCUGUACUGAACCUCUACAGUCACUAUACAGUCUUAUUGACUAGGAUUACUUAAGGUAAUUCUGGACUGCUGUACUGAACCUCUACAGUCACUAUACAGUCUUAUUGACUAGGAUUACUUAAGGUAAUUCUGGACUGCUGUACUGAACCUCUACAGUCACUAUACAGUCUUAUUGACUAGGAUUACUUAAGGUAAUUCUGGACUGCUGUACUGAACCUCUACAGUCACUAUACAGUCUUAUUGACUAGGAUUACUUAAGGUAAUUCUGGACUGCUGUACUGAACCUCUACAGUCACUAUACAGUCUUAUUGACUAGGAUUACUUAAGGUAGUUCUGGACUGUAACUACUGCAUGGUAUCUCAUUUUACUCAGCAAGCAAAAGCACAGCUAAUGCCAUCAAAUAAUAUCCACAGAAAUACACAAGCAAUUCAACUUUGACAAAAAAAAAUUA
rnacentral:lncRNA from 1 species